GUGGGGAAUAUUGGGCAAUGGGGGAAACCCUGACCCAGCAACGCCGCGUGAGGGAAGAAGGUUUUCGGAUUGUAAACCUCUGUCCUAUGGGAAGAAGAAAGUGACGGUACCAUAGGAGGAAGCCCCGGCUAACUACGUGCCAGCAGCCGCGGUAAUACGUAGGGGGCGAGCGUUGUCCGGAAUUACUGGGCGUAAAGGGUGCGUAGGCGGCCCUGCAGGUCAGAUGUGAAAUACCCGUGCUUAACAUGGGGGCUGCAUUUGAAACCGUAGGGCUUGAGUGCGGAAGAGGUAAGUGGAAUUCCCGGUGUAGCGGUGAAAUGCGUAGAGAUCGGGAGGAACACCAGUGGCGAAGGCGACUUACUGGGCCGCAACUGACGCUGAGGCACGAAAGCGUGGGGAGCAAACAGGAUUAGAAACCCGAGUAGUCC
rnacentral:rRNA from 1 species